rnacentral:rRNA from 1 species
UACGUAGGGUGCGAGCGUUGUCCGGAAUUAUUGGGCGUAAAGAGCUCGUAGGCGGUGUGUCACGUCGGCCGUGAAAACCUGCAGCUUAACUGUGGGCGUGCGGUCGAUACGGGCAUCACUGGAGUUCGGCAGGGGAGACUGGAAUUCCUGGUGUAGCGGUGAAAUGCGCAGAUAUCAGGAGGAACACCGGUGGCGAAGGCGGGUCUCUGGGCUAUAACUGACGCUGAGGAGCGAAAGCGUGGGGAGCGAACAGG